rnacentral:rRNA from 1 species
UACGUAGGGGGCGAGCGUUGUCCGAAGUUACUGGGCGUAAAGCGCGCGUAGGCGGGUCGUUAAGUGAGAGGUGAAAGGGUGGGGCUCAACCCCAGCAGUGCCUCUCAUACUGGCGAUCUUGAGGGCGGUAGAGAGAAGUGGAAUGGCUGGUGUAGCGGUGAAAUGCGUAGAGAUCAGUCGGAACACCGGUGGCGAAGGCGGCUUCUUGGGCCGUACCUGACGCUGAGGCGCGAAAGCCAGGGGAGCGAACGGG